GCAUACAGCCAUACCACCCUAGCAACAUCCAGUUGAUCCUGGAAGCUAAGCAGGUUCAGAUCAUUAGUAUACGGAUGGGAGAUCUGGGAGUGCUGGGUGCUGUAGGCC
rnacentral:rRNA from 1 species